CUCUCCUUUGUCUACCUUUUGACUGAAUCAACACAAGCUUGAACUAUGUGGAAGAGCUCAAAAACUGCUUAGUGAAUUCACACCCUACUUAGUGCUAGUUGAGAAGCUAGCAAAAUACUUGGAGAGGCCACCCUUUUUCUAACUCAACAGUUGGAAACAUGUAAGAGUUCACACCCUCAGAAACUGUGAUCUUUUGAUGAGUAUUCACCCCUCCAGAAGGUGCAAACUGGUUCCCACCAACACUACUCCCUAGGCAGUGCUAGACAAUUUGGAAGCUGUGAUUGGUCCCUGUGAAGAGAGGAGGAGACAAGAAGCCACUAUAAAAGGCCCUGAAUUUCUGAGGAUAGAGGAAGUAGACUCUACAAAGGAAGUCAGCUUCAAGGAGGAGUUGGACUUCAAGAAGGAAGUCAGCUUAAGGAAGGAGGUCUACUCAGAAAAGAAAGUUGGCCUCAGGAGUCACCUUCAAUUUAAGUCAUCAUCUUGGCCUGCCUCUUGGAGGAAACUUGGGUGAAUGGAUAGCUGGCUUUCCUUUCUUGUCUUCUGGAGAGAGUUUAAUUCUGGUUGAAGGUCAACAAGUCUUGGCUGAGGGAGUUCAUCUGGAGUUUUGUUUAAUGCCAAAAUACGAUGAAUGUUGGCUGUGGACAUCUUGUGAUUUUUCUCACAUGGAGGAAGACCUUCGGGAGCAAGGUUCAUCAUGGAAAAAAGUUAAAAGGUCAAAUGAGAAGACAAGAAAUUCAAGAUUUAGAAUGCUGUUUGAAUCGACUAUACUGAUAAAUAUUUAACAAUCAUCUCUGAAAAAAAGUAUCCACAACACAAAACAUUUCUCCAUCACUUUCUGAAGCCUAGAAA
rnacentral:lncRNA from 1 species